rnacentral:rRNA from 1 species
UACACAUGCAGUCGAACGAUGAACCACCUUCGGGUGGGCAUUAGUGGCGAACGGGUGAGUAACACGUGGGCAAUCUGCCCUGCACUCUGGGACAAGCCCUGGAAACGGGGUCUAAUACCGGAUACUGACCUGCCAAGGCAUCUUGGCGGGUCGAAAGCUCCGGCGGUGCAGGAUGAGCCCGCGGCCUAUCAGCUUGUUGGUGAGGUAAUGGCUCACCAAGGCGACGACGGGUAGCCGGCCUGAGAGGGCGACCGGCCACACUGGGACUGAGACACGGCCCAGACUCCUACGGGAGGCAGCAGUGGGGAAUAUUGCACAAUGGGCGAAAGCCUGAUGCAGCGACGCCGCGUGAGGGAUGACGGCCUUCGGGUUGUAAACCUCUUUCAGCAGGGAAGAAGCGAAAGUGACGGUACCUGCAGAAGAAGCGCCGGCUAACUACGUGCCAGCAGCCGCGGUAAUACGUAGGGCGCAAGCGUUGUCCGGAAUUAUUGGGCGUAAAGAGCUCGUAGGCGGCUUGUCGCGUCGGUUGUGAAAGCCCGGGGCUUAACCCCGGGUCUGCAGUCGAUACGGGCAGGCUAGAGUUCGGUAGGGGAGAUCGGAAUUCCUGGUGUAGCGGUGAAAUGCGCAGAUAUCAGGAGGAACACCGGUGGCGAAGGCGGAUCUCUGGGCCGAUACUGACGCUGAGGAGCGAAAGCGUGGGGAGCGAACAGGAUUAGAUACCCUGGUAGUCCACGCCGUAAACGGUGGGCACUAGGUGUGGGCAACAUUCCACGUUGUCCGUGCCGCAGCUAACGCAUUA